rnacentral:misc_RNA from 1 species
UUGCAAGGUAAAAAGAAAAAAAUAGUUGAAGGAGCAGACCUUUUUAAAAGCGAGUCUUUGCAAUUUGGGGAGUUCCUCGAGCAAUCGAGCUUUGGUUCUCCGAAUCUCCGCGUUCACAGCAAUAACCGUAGCCCUAUUCUUCUCCGUUGCAGCCGACUCCGAUUUUUGAAGAGCAGCAUCAAGGUCAACCUCGAUGACACAGUAAAGGCGGGCGAAAGCAUCAUCGCCGGCGACGUUGAGGUCCUUUUGCUUAUCAACAUCAUACUUUUCAUAUUUCUUGCAAAUAGCUUCGACUCUAGUUAUCAAAUCGAUCACCGUCAUCUUCUCUUAAUUACCUGAACUGAAAACUUCUUUUUGACUCUGCGAGUUGUUUCAAGUAACUGGAAGACAGAGAGCAAGAGAGAGACGGAG